AUCGGAAACAAAAGCCAAGAAUGCUGAGGGGCCCCCGGGGCCAGUGACAGCGGCUGGCCGGGCGCCAGCAAUCACCAUAGGGGCUGUAACCUCGGUGCUCGGACGGACUCAGGACAGACGCCGGCGCUCCGAUGCAGUCAGGACAGACGCCAGCGCUCGGACGGACUCAGGACAGACGCCGGCGCUCGGACGGACUCAGGACAGACGCGGGCGCUCGGACCGACUCAGGACAGACGCGGGCGCUCGGACGGACUCCGGACAGACGCGGGCGCUCGAAGGACUCCGGACAGACGCCGGCGCUCGGAUGGACUCUGGAUAGACGCCGGCGCUCGGACGGACUCAGGAUAGACGCCGGCAGACCCACACCUC
rnacentral:lncRNA from 1 species